AAGAGCAAGUAUAUUUUCACAACACAAUGAGGAAUUUAAUGAAGCUUGCAAAUCUGCACGUCCACACGACGCACAAAUACAUCUAAAUAGUGAAAUUUGCAUAAUAAUUAACUUGUUUGUGCGAUAUAAAAACUCCAGAGCAGUGCCAGAGGAACCUAUUUGGUAUAAUAGUAUUUAGCAAGGGAGCUCCAAAGAAAUCUUCAACCUUGAACUUCGUUUCAUUACUGACUUCAAAUUGUAUUCCGCGUGAAAGCAGCAAGUGUGUUACUGUUAUUUGCAGCAAGCAACAAGAUGGUUUGCCUUAAAGUUUUCCCUGCAGUUCUGAUAAUAUUUUGUCAAGUCCAUGCAAACUUUGGUGCGCCUAAAAGCGAACUGGAGAUAAGGUAUGCUUAUCUGCAACUUACAACAUUUUGCAAACUAUUUCAUAGAACUGUGUUGUGAGCUAAAGGUUUGGAAAGAUUGUAAGACUUUCAAGGGAGUAACUAAUCAAAAUCUAGUCAAUCUUAUCCGAUUUAAGUUAAAAUGGAGAUAUAUAGAUGUAUCGGUCUCCACGUUCUGAACAAUUCUCCCUUAUGCCUGGUUAAAAUUUAUUGUUUAAAGUAUAAACAACAUAUUUGUAUCUGCGCCUAGCGCUAGAUACUACGCUAUCGAGUUGUGGGUGUCGCUGUGCGUGCGUUGAACACUUAGUUCGACUAAUUAGGGCUUGUACGCCUGCGAAUAGACCGUAAAACAAAGACGGUCGCUUUCUACAGAGUGAAGUGAAACUAUUUGUUUGACUCGAGGUUUGAUUUUGCCCGACUGCUAAAUUGUCCGA